CUGUUGCAGGCCGUUGCAAACCGGGCUCUAGUGCCCUUCCUCUGGGGGACUGAAGUCUAGUUUAGGACAGAGAGCUGUGCAUGCCCUCCCUGAAGGAGGCCAUGGUGACACUGCCCAGGGAAGGGAGCCUCUGCUCUCCGCCUCUGUUGAACUUUCCUCACAGCCUAUCAGGGUUAGUGCGUGUCUGAGUCAGUGAGUCAGAGCCUGUCCUUUUCUCUCAUCCUUGUCUUCUGUUCACUACUGUGUGACUUUGAACAACCACUUGGCUACCUUGCGCUCUCAUUUUCUCAGCGUGAGUAAGUGCCUAUGUGUGUGUGGGCACGUGAGCAUGAGUGCAGUACCCGCGGAUGCCAGAAGGGGGCGUGAGAUCCUUGGACUCGCCUUAUUUCCUUAAGCCAGAGUCUCCAGGACCUGGAGCUAGGAUGGUGGUCCUCCUGUCUACACUCCUCACCACACUGGGUUACAGCCUGUGGGGAUACAAGAUGUCAGCUGGCUGCAGCCUGGAAGAGGGUCCUCAUAGAUGCUCCCAUGCUGGCCUCGUGUUUUACCCUCCCUGGUGGGAAAUAAAUGCGUGUUAUUAGA